rnacentral:lncRNA from 1 species
GUUUUCCUAAUUUCUAAAUCACAAACCCAAAUCUAAAUUAUUUCUCAAAAAAUUGAAAACUUUCCAAAAAUAGCAAUUUUAAGAAAAUUAUUUAUAAAUACUAUAUACAGUUGAAAAAUUCUGAAAGAAUACUCAUCUAUCCACAAAUAUUCUUGUUAUCCUAAUUUCUAAAUCACAAACCCAAAUCUACAGUAUUUCUCAAAAAAAUGAAAACUUUCCAAAAAUAGCAGUUUUUAAGAAAAUUAUUUAAAAAUACUAUAUAUUGAUGAAAAAUUCUGAAAGAAUACUCAUCUAUCCACAAAUAUUUUUGUUAUCCUAAUUUCUAAAUCACAAACCCAAAUCUACAGUAUUUCUCAAAAAAAUGAAAACUUUCCAAAAAUAGCAGUUUUUAAGAAAAUUAUUUAAAAAUACUAUAUACAGAUGAAAAAUUCUGAAACAAUACUCAUCUAUCCUAAAAUAUUCUUGUUAUCCUAAUUUCUAAAUCACAAACCCAAAUCUACAGUAUUUCUCAAAAAAUUGAAAACUUUCCAAAAAUAGCAGUUUUUAAGAAAAUUAUUUAUAAAUACUAUAUACUGAUGAAAAAUUCUGAAACAAUACUCAUCUAUCCUAAAAUAUUCUUGUUAUCCUAAUUUCUAAAUCACAAACCCACAUCUACAGUAUUUCUAAAAAAAUUGAAAACUUUCCAAAAAUAGCAGUCUUUAAGAAAAUUAUUUAAAAAUAAUAUAUAUAGAUGAAAAAUUCUGAAAGAAUACUCAUCUAUCCACAAAUAUUCUUGUUAUCCUAAUUUCUAAAUCACAAACCCAAAUCUACAAUAUUUUUCAAAAAAUUGAAAACUUUCCAAAAAUAGCAGUUUUUAAGAAAAUUAUUUAUAAAUACUAUAUACAAAUGAAAAAUUCUGAAAGAAUACUCAUCUACCUUAAAAUAUUCUUGUUAUCUUAAUUUC